UGGCGGACGGGUGGGUAAUGUCUGGGAAACUGCCCGAUGGAGGGGGAUAACUACUGGAAACGGUAGCUAAUACCGCAUAACGUCGCAAGACCAAGAGGGGACCUUCGGGCCUCUUGCCAUCGGAUGUGCCCAGAUGGGAUUAGCUAGUAGGUGGGGUAACGGCUCACCUAGGCGACGAUCCCUAGCUGGUCUGAGAGGAUGACCAGCCACACUGGAACUGAGACACGGUCCAG
rnacentral:rRNA from 1 species